rnacentral:rRNA from 1 species
UACGUAGGGACCAAGCGUUGUUCGGAUUUACUGGGCGUAAAGGGCGCGUAGGUGGCGCGGUAAGUCACUUGUGAAAUCUCUGAGCUUAACUCAGAACGGCCAAGUGAUACUGCAGUGCUAGAGUGUGGAAGGGCAAUCGGAAUUCUUGGUGUAGCGGUGAAAUGCGUAGAUAUCAAGAGGAACACCUGAGGUGAAGACGGGUUGCUGGGCCAACACGUGACGCUGAGGCGACGAAAGCCAGGGGAGCAAACGGG